UUUCCGUAGGUGAACCUGCGGAAGGAUCAUUAUUGUAUAACCGAGGUGCGAGGGCUGUCGCUGACCCUAAAGGGCGUGCACGCCCGAGUGCCCUCACACACAUCCAUCUCACCCCUAUGUGCACCACCGCGUGGGUCCCCCUUUGGCUUGUUCGGAGGGGGGCUUACGUUUUCACACAAACUUUGUAUGCAGUGUAGAAUGUAUUUUUUGUUUUUGCGAUCACGCAAUCAAUACAACUUUCAACAACGGAUCUCUUGGCUCUC
rnacentral:misc_RNA from 1 species